rnacentral:tRNA from 1 species
GGGGCCAUAGCUCAGCUGGGAGAGCGCCUGCUUUGCACGCAGGAGAUCAGGAGUUCGAUCCUCCUUGGCUCCACCA